GAUGAACGCUGGCGGCGUGCCUAAUACAUGCAAGUCGAGCGAACGGACGAGAAGCUUGCUUCUCUGAUGUUAGCGGCGGACGGGUGAGUAACACGUGGAUAACCUACCUAUAAGACUGGGAUAACUUCGGGAAACCGGAGCUAAUACCGGAUAAUAUUUUGAACCGCAUGGUUCAAAAGUGAAAGACGGUCUUGCUGUCACUUAUAGAUGGAUCCGCGCUGCAUUAGCUAGUUGGUAAGGUAACGGCUUACCAAGGCAACGAUGCAUAGCCGACCUGAGAGGGUGAUCGGCCACACUGGUACUGAGACACGGUCCAGACUCCUACGGGAGGCAGCAGUAGGGAAUCUUCCGCAAUGGGCGAAAGCCUGACGGAGCAACGCCGCGUGAGUGAUGAAGGUCUUCGGAUCGUAAAACUCUGUUAUUAGGGAAGAACAUAUGUGUAAGUAACUGUGCACAUCUUGACGGUACCUAAUCAGAAAGCCACGGCUAACUACGUGCCAGCAGCCGCGGUAAUACGUAGGUGGCAAGCGUUAUCCGGAAUUAUUGGGCGUAAAGCGCGCGUAGGCGGUUUUUUAAGUCUGAUGUGAAAGCCCACGGCUCAACCGUGGAGGGUCAUUGGAAACUGGAAAACUUGAGUGCAGAAGAGGAAAGUGGAAUUCCAUGUGUAGCGGUGAAAUGCGCAGAGAUAUGGAGGAACACCAGUGGCGAAGGCGACUUUCUGGUCUGUAACUGACGCUGAUGUGCGAAAGCGUGGGGAUCAAACAGGAUUAGAUACCCUGGUAGUCCACGCCGUAAACGAUGAGUGCUAAGUGUUAGGGGGUUUCCGCCCCUUAGUGCUGCAGCUAACGCAUUAAGCACUCCGCCUGGGGAGUACGACCGCAAGGUUGAAACUCAAAGGAAUUGACGGGGACCCGCACAAGCGGUGGAGCAUGUGGUUUAAUUCGAAGCAACGCGAAGAACCUUACCAAAUCUUGACAUCCUUUGACAACUCUAGAGAUAGAGCCUUCCCCUUCGGGGGACAAAGUGACAGGUGGUGCAUGGUUGUCGUCAGCUCGUGUCGUGAGAUGUUGGGUUAAGUCCCGCAACGAGCGCAACCCUUAAGCUUAGUUGCCAUCAUUAAGUUGGGCACUCUAAGUUGACUGCCGGUGACAAACCGGAGGAAGGUGGGGAUGACGUCAAAUCAUCAUGCCCCUUAUGAUUUGGGCUACACACGUGCUACAAUGGACAAUACAAAGGGCAGCGAAACCGCGAGGUCAAGCAAAUCCCAUAAAGUUGUUCUCAGUUCGGAUUGUAGUCUGCAACUCGACUACAUGAAGCUGGAAUCGCUAGUAAUCGUAGAUCAGCAUGCUACGGUGAAUACGUUCCCGGGUCU
rnacentral:rRNA from 1 species